rnacentral:rRNA from 1 species
GAGUUUGAUCAUGGCUCAGAAUCAACGCUGGCGGCGUGCCUAACACAUGCAAGUCGAACGCGAAAGGGGCUUCGGUCCUGAGUAGAGUGGCGAACGGGUGAGUAACACGUGGGUGAUCUACCUUCGAGUGGGGGAUAACGCAGCGAAAGUUGUGCUAAUACCGCAUACGAUCUACGGAUGAAAGUGGGGGACCGUAAGGCCUCACGCUAUACGAGCGGCCGAUGUCCGAUUAGCUAGUUGGUGGGGUAAAGGCUCACCAAGGCGACGAUCGGUAGCUGGUCUGAGAGGAUGAUCAGCCACACUGGGACUGAGACACGGCCCAGACUCCUACGGGAGGCAGCAGUGGGGAAUUUUGGACAAUGGGCGCAAGCCUGAUCCAGCCAUGCCGCGUGAGUGAAGAAGGCCUU